rnacentral:rRNA from 1 species
GUCGAGCGGAAACGGAGAUAGCUUGCUAUCAGACGUCGAGCGGCGGACGGGUGAGUAAUGCCUAGAAAUCUGCCUAGUCGUGGGGGAUAACAGUUGGAAACGACUGCUAAUACCGCAUACGCCCUACGGGGGAAAAGAGGGGACCUUUUGGCCUUCUGCGAUUAGAUGAGUCUAGGUGGGAUUAGCUAGUAGGUGAGGUAAUGGCUCACCUAGGCGACGAUCCCUAGCUGUUCUGAGAGGAUGAUCAGCCACACUGGGACUGAGACACGGCCCAGACUCCUACGGGAGGCAGCAGUGGGGAAUAUUGCACAAUGGGCGCAAGCCUGAUGCAGCCAUGCCGCGUGUGUGAAGAAGGCCUUCGGGUUGUAAAGCACUUUCAGCGAGGAGGAAAGGUAGGUCGUUAAUAGCGGCUUGCUGUGACGUUACUCGCAGAAGAAGCACCGGCUAACUUCGUGCCAGCAGCCGCGGUAAUACGAGGGGUGCAAGCGUUAAUCGGAAUUACUGGGCGUAAAGCGUACGCAGGCGGUUUUUUAAGCCAGAUGUGAAAGCCCCGGGCUCAACCUGGGAAUAGCAUUUGGAAC